rnacentral:rRNA from 1 species
GGUAAAGUUGACGGGGACCCGCACAAGCGGUGGAUGAUGUGGAUUAAUUCGAUGCAACGCGAAGAACCUUACUACCCUUGACAUGUCCGGAACUUGCCAGAGAUGGCUUGGUGCCCGAAAGGGAAUCGGAACACAGGUGCUGCAUGGCUGUCGUCAGCUCGUGUCGUGAGAUGUUGGGUUAAGUCCCGCAACGAGCGCAACCCUUAUCAUUAGUUGCUACGCAAGGGCACUCUAAUGAGACUGCCGGUGACAAACCGGAGGAAGGUGGGGAUGACGUCAAGUCCUCAUGGCCCUUAUGGGUAGGGCUUCACACGUCAUACAAUGGUCGGUACAGAGGGUUGCCAAGCCGCGAGGCGGAGCCAAUCCCACAAAGCCGAUCGUAGUCCGGAUUGUUCUCUGCAACUCGAGAGCAUGAAGUCGGAAUCGCUAGUAAUCGCAGGUCAGCAUACUGCGGUGAAUACGUUCCCGGGUCUU